GACGAACGCUGGCGGCGUGCUUAACACAUGCAAGUCGAACGGAAAGGCCCUGCUUUUGUGGGGUGCUCGAGUGGCGAACGGGUGAGUAACACGUGAGUAACCUGCCCUUGACUUUGGGAUAACUUCAGGAAACUGGGGCUAAUACCGGAUAGGAGCUCCUGCUGCAUGGUGGGGGUUGGAAAGUUUCGGCGGUUGGGGAUGGACUCGCGGCUUAUCCGCUUGUUGGUGGGGUAGUGGCUUACCAAGGCUUUGACGGGUAGCCGGCCUGAGAGGGUGACCGGCCACAUUGGGACUGAGAGACGGCCCAGACUCCUACGGGAGGCAGCAGUGGGGAAUAUUGCACAAUGGGCGGAAGCCUGAUGCAGCAACGCCGCGUGCGGGAUGACGGCCUUCGGGUUGUAAACCGAUUUCGCCUGUGACGAAGCGUGAGUGACGGUAAUGGGUAAAGAAGCACCGGCUAACUACGUG
rnacentral:rRNA from 1 species